CAGGCAUGUGCCCUUACUAGGAAUCAAACUGGAGACCUUUCAGUUGUGGAGCUAUGCCCAACCCACUGAGCCACACCAGUCAGGGCUGCAAUUUCUUUAUUUUAUCCAACAAUAUGUCUUGAAGGCAAUUCUAUGUCAGCAUUAAAAAAAAUCUCUUUAUUUUAGCUAUAUAGUAUUCCAGCGUGGAGGACUUUUUUUCUUUUUUGUGCCAGAACCUGGCUUUUCCUUGGGAAGCCACCUCCCACAUUUUUUAUGCGGCUGAUCACCUCACCUUCUCCAUUCAGGAGGAGGACUGUGAUCCGCAUUGGGUCAAUUAGUAUCACAGGAGUGUUCAGGGGUGGAAGUGUGCCUCUGUCUGGGCAGUGAAAGUCACCUCUGAGAGUUUUGCUGUUUGCUAAGCUGAUGGUGUCCCAGGUCUCCUCAUGUCUAAUCCUGUGAGCCUGAAAAGUCCCAGGAACCGUUCCAUCAUUUGCAGUAGUCUUCACCAGAGAGUACUCUGGGAUUCGGUUUUACCUCACAAUCUGUUUCUAUAUGUCUCCCAUAUUUUAAGGAUUUUAAAAAAUCAUUACUGGCUCACAAAGAACAUUACAUUUUGCUUUUCAAGUCAGUUUUAGAUUUUUAUAAACCUCUAUUACAUCUGUUACAUAAUAACUGGCACUUUGCCUUGUGAUUAUCUUUGUUCUUACCUACCUUCGGACUGGACUCUUUAUGAAUAAACAAUGACUAAUUCACUUGUCUGUCUGGCAGUCGGUAGUCACUCAUAAAUACUUGUUGAAUAACUGGUUAAAUAAAAAGCUGACCUUACAUUCACCUUCCCUGGAUGGUUCAAGAGAUUCUAAUGCUUUUCAAAGUACAAAGUCUUUGUACCACCUUGUGAUGGAUUAAAUUAUCGUUCGGCAAAUAUCGACUCCUCUCGCCAGGUUCCACGAACACAGGACAUGUCCCUUCCAGUCACUUUUGCCUUUGUCAGGUUCCUUCCUUUGGCCAACGGGAUAUCAGUGGACCAGGUAUGAGCAGAGGUUUGGCAUCUGCUUGGGUGGUAGGGUUUACUAUCUCACACUCCUGCUUUUUACCACAGGAAGAACCUGCCUAAGGCAGAUGUUAGUUCAAGGAGGAUGAGAAGCAUGUGCAGCAGAACCAGACCAACAGGAUGGAGCCUAGACCAGCCUAGAUAAGCGGUACUUUGGCUUACCUGCAGAUGUGUGAGUGACAAGUGCUCCUCAGUGGCCGCAAAGGACAAGAGCAAGCUGCUGAUCAAUGUCUCCACACAAACCAACAUGAGAGCUGCUGUCAGGAUUUAAAUACCUUCCCUGGGUCCCAGUGCACAUGUGGGAACCCUGAGAAAGGCUUUUUCAACCUCCAAAAGAGUUCUGCAUCAAGUCUCAUGGGACUUAAUUAAAAUAAUCAGUUUUCACA